rnacentral:rRNA from 1 species
UACGUAGGGGGCAAGCGUUGUCCGGAAUUAUUGGGCGUAAAGAGCGUGUAGGCGGUCCGGUAAGUCAGCUGUGAAAGUCAAGGGCUCAACCCUUGAAAGCCGGUUGAUACUGUCGGGCUAGAGUCCGGAAGAGGCGAGUGGAAUUCCCGGUGUAGCGGUGAAAUGCGCAGAUAUCGGGAGGAACACCGGUGGCGAAGGCGGCGACCUGGGUCGACACUGACGCUGAGGCGCGAAAGCGUGGGGAGCAAACAGG